ACGUAGGAUGCGAGCGUUGUCCGGAUUCACUGGGUGUAAAGGGAGCGCAGGCGGGUUGGUAAGUCGGUGGUGAAAUCCUCAGGCUUAACCUGAGAACUGCCACCGAUACUGUUAAUCUUGAGUGUGGAAGAGGCCGAUGGAAUUCCUGGUGUAGCGGUGAAAUGCGUAGAUAUCAGGAAGAACACCGAUGGCGAAGGCAGUCGGCUGGUCCAUUACUGACGCUCAUGCUCGAAAGCGUGGGGAUCAAACAGGAUUAGAUACCCUGGUAGUCCACGCCCUAAACGAUGGAUGCUCGAUGUCGGCCCGCAAGGGUCGGUGUCUCAGCUAACGCUUUAAGCAUCCCACCUGGGAAGUACGAUCGCAAGGUUG
rnacentral:rRNA from 1 species